CACUACAAGGAUCCUCAGUACGGCGAGCGAACGGGAAGACUCAAAUUUGUAAUCUGGCGUCUUCCAAGCGUCCGAGUUGUAAUCUAUAGAAUUGUUUGCGGUGCCGGACCGUGUCUAUGUCCCUUGGAAGGAGGUAUCAAAGAGGGUGACACNCCCCUGCGGGANGGUAUUACCGGUGCUCUGUGACACAUUCUCUAAGACUCGAGUUGUGGGGGAAUGCACUCUAAAUGGGUGGUAAAUCCCUCUAAAGCUAAAUAUUGGCGAGAGACCGAUAGCGAACUAUACCGUGAGGGAAAGAUGAACACACUUUGGAAAGAUAGUUAAACACUUCGUGAAAUUGUUGAAGAGGGGAACGAUUGAAUCACUCCCNUCCGGGGGUUUCAGCUUGCUCUGCAGGUGUAUUACCCCGGAGCGAGCAACCUCUGUUUUGGCGCGGCGGACAAAAGCCNACUGAAUGUGGCNCCCUCCGGUGUGUCAUACUCCCUGUGUCAUACGCUGCCUGACACUAACGACUACNGCUCCCCUUACGGGUCCCCCUUCGGGGACUUCACAUCGAUUAAAUAUUUCAAUUUAACAACCUCU
rnacentral:rRNA from 1 species